AGAUCUUAUAUUUAAGAACGGAUGAAGUAUAUGUCUAUAUCCUUUGUGGGUCAGAAGAGGGUGCUAGUGAUUUGUACAUAUGUCUGAUAUAGCUAGUCUAGACUAGCGACCUCAACCUCAGUACCAGACGCACCGCAAAAAAAAAAGGAUCGCCGCACGAUCGCCCAGCCUAGGGCGACUCGGGUGUGACCAGCAAUCCACGCACCAGCGUUGAUGUUUUCCAUCCUCUCACUGCGCCACCGCUGGAGGAUGCCUCCGGGUGAAACUGGUGAGGCCAAUGGUGCCGGCGAGGCGCUCUCCCGCGUCAGCUUUAGGGCAUCUGGUUGGGAGGUGCGCUGAUCUUUGCCCUGCUCUAGUCUUCUCACCGCAUCGUUUGUGCCGUCGUUGGAGGAUGCCUCCGGGGUGAAACCGAUGAGGCCAAUGGUGGCGGCGGGGCGCUCUCCGGCGUUGGUUUUAGGGCAUCUGGUUGGGAGGUGCGCGGAUCUUUCCCCUUCUCUAGUCCUCUCAACGUGCCGCCGUUGGAGGAUGCCUUCGGGUGAAACCAGUGAGGCCAAUGGUGGCGGCCGGGCGCUCUUCCGCGUCGGCUUUAGGGCAUCUGGUUGGGAGGUGCGUUGGUGCACGCUAGGGCUUGGAAUGCCGGCGACCGGGGGUAGACCUCGCGUCCUCACAUGGGUGUGGCAGCGGCUAUCGGUGUCAUGGCCAUUUGGGGCUGCAUCGGGGGAGGUUGUUAUGCGUGGCAAUGCCUAGAUCCACCCCAGAUCGAGGGCGACCCUCCUAUUCUUCAUGCUCCAUAACAUUGAUUUUUGAUUUGGGCCCUGCUAUUCUUGAUGCUUCAUAACUUCGAUUUGCUUCAUAGCGGCCUCUUUGAUCUGGACACUGACGAAUUUCGGUCUUUCUUCUAGAGAUCCCAGCUUUUGGCGCAUGGCGUUAUUGGAUAUCUAGAUCAGAAUUGAUCUGGUCGGUCGCGUCCUCAUCUUCAGCCAAAGACUUCAUGAAGGCAUGACGGGAAGCUUCGAUGUCUUGCCGGUGUCAUGGGACAUGUUUAAGUAUAGUUUUUUAUUGUAUUGACGGUGGUGAAGAAAGUAACCGCAAAUGGAGACUUGUAACAACGGAGAAGAGUUUUGGUUGUGUUGAAGACUUGCGACAUAGGGUUUUUUCUGUGUGUCGGGUGUUGAGGACUUGCAGCGGCCUUGGCAGGCAUAGGUAGGCAACAUUUUUGGGGGUGCUCGAGUGUCGGGUGUUGAGGACUUGCAGCGGCCUUGGCAGGCAUAGGUAGGCAACAUUUUUGGGGGUGCUUCUCGAGUGUCAAGCGCGAUCUUAAGGGUGAAAGCCUAAGGUCCGUCCUUUAUUGGCACAAUGGUCUUGUGAAGACAUUGUUUUUGGAUCUGGGACCUCCCUCCAAGAUGAAAACUCAAGAUUCUUGAUCUGACGACAACAACACUUUUGCAUUAUUUUCUUUUUGAAGACGUCGUUUUUGGAGAACCUCCUGUGUAUUUCG
rnacentral:lncRNA from 1 species